CCGCACUAGUCGGGGAGAUAGCGGUGCCCUAUACCCGCAAUCCGCUACAGCGGGGAUGAAUCCCGGCCCCCGGACGUGUAAUGUGUCGUCUGCCCUGGAUAAGCAGUGAUGAUAGACCGGUCCCGCGCAACGGGGUCCCGUGAACCGUGUCAGGCGGGGAACCGAGCAGCACUAAGCGGUCCGCUCCGUGUGCCGUGGGGUCACUGUUCUUGAGCCGGCUGUCCAGGUAACGGGCAUAUUUCACGCUUCAAAGGCCGGUGUGCGG
rnacentral:SRP_RNA from 2 species